rnacentral:rRNA from 1 species
UGGGGAAUUUUGGACAAUGGGCGCAAGCCUGAUCCAGCCAUGCCGCGUGCGGGAAGAAGGCCUUCGGGUUGUAAACCGCUUUUGUCGGGGAAGAAACGCUCUGGGCUAAUACCCUGGGGUAAUGACGGUACCUGAAGAAUAAGCACCGGCUAACUACGUGCCAGCAGCCGCGGUAAUACGUAGGGUGCAAGCGUUAAUCGGAAUUACUGGGCGUAAAGCGUGCGCAGGCGGUUAUGCAAGACAGAUGUGAAAUCCCCGGGCUCAACCUGGGAACUGCAUUUGUGACUGUAUAGCUAGAGUACGGUAGAGGGGGAUGGAAUUCCGCGUGUAGCAGUGAAAUGCGUAGAUAUGCGGAGGAACACCGAUGGCGAAGGCAAUCCCCUGGACCUGUACUGACGCUCAUGCACGAAAGCGUGGGGAGCAAACAGGAUUAGAUACCCUAGUAGUCCCUGAG